UACGAAGGGGGCUAGCGUUGCUCGGAAUCACUGGGCGUAAAGCGCACGUAGGCGGAUUGCUAAGUCAGGGGUGAAAUCCUGGAGCUCAACUCCAGAACUGCCUUUGAUACUGGCGAUCUUGAGUUCGGGAGAGGUGAGUGGAACUGCGAGUGUAGAGGUGAAAUUCGUAGAUAUUCGGAAAGAACACCAGUGGCGAAGGCGGCUGACUGGACAUGUAUGACGCUGAGGUGCGAAAGCGUGGGGAGCAAACAGG
rnacentral:rRNA from 1 species